GUGGGGAAUCUUCCGCAAUGGACGAAAGUCUGACGGAGCAACGCCGCGUGAGUGAAGAAGGUUUUCGGAUCGUAAAGCUCUUUCGUUAGGGACGAACGUGCUCUUUGUGAAUAAUGAGGAGUAAUGACGGUACCUAAAUAAGAAGCCACGGCUAACUACGUGCCAGCAGCCGCGGUAAUACGUAGGUGGCAAGCGUUGGCCGGAAUUAUUGGGCGUAAAGCGCGCGCAGGCGGGAUAUCAAGUCUGUCUUAAAAGUGCGAGGCUCAACCUCGUGAGGGGACAGAAACUGGUAUUCUUGAGUGUCGGAGAGGAAAGUGGAAUUCCUAGUGUAGCGGUGAAAUGCGUAGAUAUUAGGAAGAACACCAGUGGCGAAGGCGACUUUCUGGACGAAAACUGACGCUGAGGCGCGAAAGCCAGGGGAGCGAACGGGAUUAGAAACCCGAGUAGUCC
rnacentral:rRNA from 1 species